AGCACCUCCCUCCCUCGCCCCUCUCCUUUCGCAUCUCUUCCUCUCCUCGACCCUCCCGUCUGGUGUGCCGCCGCCCCAAUCUAGAGUCACGGUGUUCCCUUUCCCGAUCUUGACCUUAAUCUCUGACGGCUUCAACCUAUGGCGGAUCGUAGGUACACCACCAUUACCGGCUGGUUGGCCCUUGAAGCUCGAGCCCCUUCUCCUCGACUCUGUGAUGCCCUUCCGCAUCUAAUGUCGUCACGCUGGACAAACCCGCUGUGCUGGAUGAGGAACCCUAAACCCUAAAUGCUUUCCACGCGGGUGGUCAAGCCUGUAGACCUGUUCAAGCCCGGACCGCCCCCGACAACAGUGCCAGUGUCCCGGUGGUUUGCCGCGGCGCCUCCCCACUGGCUUAGGUUUACUCUCAUGAAGAGGACCUUGAUGCACCUCUCCAUCGUGAUGCCGUGAGGGGACGAUAAUGGCUCGAUGACGCCGAGGAGAGCAAUAUCAAAUAAAACUUUUCCCCUUGAUCUACGUCAAGAAAAAAUGCGUAGGAAGCUGAGGUAUUUGAGUCUCAGUUAACAAGGAGGAAAUAUUCUUCAUGCCUCGAGCAUUGUUAGGUUCUGACAGUGACAACAUAUUUUAUAGUGUAAAUGGAGGUAACCACAUAAUUAGACAUGUACCGGUAGUUUGCUAUCAUUAUCUGUGUUCCUCUCAGCACAUGGUGCUUUAAGCUGCUUCGAUCAUCUAUCUGUGAAUCUAGCAAAAUAUAGCUUUUGUACUGAUGCUUUUCCAUGCUCACUUGUAUGUACAGAUCUAAAAGCCACGAACCGAGGUACAUCAUCCCCCCUUUUUGGGUGUCUACUAGCCUUUUGCUAUCCUGGGUGGCAUUGAGUAAAGUCUGCCCCAUAUUUGCUGCAGAUAGACGGGUACAUGUUGUAUCCCCCUGAAUGUGUUCCUUGAUAUUUUAGAAUGAUGCUUCACAGGUCCAUGUAGGUACAGGAAAACCCGUUCCUUCAUUUUGAACAAUCCACACAACUCAAUAUAUAUACUCCUGGUGAACUCAUUUAUGCAAGAGGAAUUCAUAAAUGUAGUUGAUAGGAAAAAGCAUGCCAUGUACCCGAUGUUGUUCCAUGGUGGCAUGCAGCUACCGUAGCUUUACCCUAGGCUACCCCAUGUGGCUCGAAUCAUUUAGUCGCUCUUUUAGCUAGGCCCUUGGGAGGUGAUGAUCUCAUUGAAUAUCAUCGUUGCCUAGGUAUAUUGCAGGCCAGCUGUGGAUAUAUGGUGACUUGCACGGUGCGAUAUGGCCUUCAAGUGGGAGUAAUGUGUUUGGCUAUUCGUAAUGCAUGGGCGGGUGUAGAUUAUCCUACUUGUCAUUUCUGAUCCUAGCUGUGUACUAAUUGAUGAUAUGUUGAUGUGACCCGACUAGACGGCGAGUCGUUCCUAGGUCCAAUCUUUCUCGAUACUCAAUGAAUUAGCAAGAACGUCGACGAACGAUCAUCACACCAGCAGCAGCGUAUGUAGAAGUAGUAAUACGGCUCUUCGGAUCAAGCAAAGACGCAAGAAGACCAAAGAACGAAAAAAACUUGCGCAAGAAUUCGACCGAAUCAAAUCCUAUGUGUAGCAGCUAUGAAAUCCCUCACGGAUCAGCAAACACAAGGAUUUUUGGUGCAUCCAAACGUGAUGCGUU